AGUGAACGCUGGCGGUAGGCCUAACACAUGCAAGUCGAACGGCAGCACAGUAAGAGCUUGCUCUUACGGGUGGCGAGUGGCGGACGGGUGAGGAAUACAUCGGAAUCUACUUUUUCGUGGGGGAUAACGUAGGGAAACUUACGCUAAUACCGCAUACGACCUACGGGUGAAAGCAGGGGAUCUUCGGACCUUGCGCGAUUGAAUGAGCCGAUGUCGGAUUAGCUAGUUGGCGGGGUAAAGGCCCACCAAGGCGACGAUCCGUAGCUGGUCUGAGAGGAUGAUCAGCCACACUGGAACUGAGACAAGGUCCCGACUCCUACGGGAGGCAGCAGUGGGGAAUAUUGGACAAUGGGCGCAAGCCUGAUCCAGCCAUACCGCGUGGGUGAAGAAGGCCUUCGGGUUGUAAAGCCCUUUUGUUGGGAAAGAAAAGCAGCAGGUUAAUACCCCGCUGUUCUGACGGUACCCAAAGAAUAAGCACCGGCUAACUUCGUG
rnacentral:rRNA from 1 species